UGAUGAAUAGGAUGCGGUUGGUACUAGGCAAUGUUAUCGAUCAAGCUCAAAGCGCUUUUAUUAGUGUGAGCUGAUUACAGAUAAUGUGUUUAUCGGUUUUGAAUGCCAACAUUGGCAACAAGGGAGGAAGAAAAGGGGAAAAUGAUAUGUUGCUGAUGGAAUGGAAUAUUCUCGAGGGUGUGAUGCAUAGAUUGGGCUUCCCAGAUAAUCUAUGUGCGCACAUUAUGAGAUGCAGGAAUUCUUAAAGUGGGAUUUUGCAAGUUAAUUUUGCCUUGAUUUUGUACCCCGUGACCGCGCCAUUGACCUCCGCGGCUGCACCCUCAUGCUUAAGGCCAUGGCGCCUUGCUCGCGCCUCUUCAUGAAGUCGAGACCUGCAGCCAUGCCCAUGGGCCACGGUCACGACCUCUACCUUUGGACGCCGACGCCCCCAGCUCGUACCCCUACUUGCGUGAUGGUCUCAUUCCACAAAAGUGAAGGCCGCCGUCGCGCCUACCUCUCAGUCACGCCACAGAAUUAAUGGCAGGCCUAUUUUUUGUGUCGUAUAAAUAGCUGCUCUUUUUCUCUCAGUAGAGUAUGAUUUUCAACACUAAAAAACACUCUUUUCUAGUUUUCUUUUGAGUAUUUCAUGUAUUUGCUUGGAGAUUGAAGACAACCUUGGAUUUUAGUAUUGUAAGAAUCGUUGGAGUUGUCGUUUUUAUUGUGGAUUGAAUUGUUGGUUAAUUUAUGCUUGUCACUUUAUUGUUGUUUUUA